CCUACGGGCGGCAGCAGUAGGGAAUAUUGCUCAAUGGGGGAAACCCUGAAGCAGCAACGCCGCGUGGAGGAUGAAGGUUUUCGGAUUGUAAACUCCUUUUGUUAGAGAAGAUAAUGACGGUAUCUAACGAAUAAGCACCGGCUAACUCCGUGCCAGCAGCCGCGGUAAUACGGAGGGUGCAAGCGUUACUCGGAAUCACUGGGCGUAAAGAGCGCGUAGGCGGGAUAGCAAGUCAGAUGUGAAAUCCUAGGGCUUAACCAUAGAACUGCAUUUGAAACUGUUAUUCUAGAGUAUGGGAGAGGUAGGUGGAAUUCUUGGUGGAGGGGUAAAAUCCGUAGAGAUCAGGAGGAAUACUCAUUGCGAAGGCGGCCUGCUAGAACAUAACGGACGCUGAUGCGCGAAAGCGUGGGGAGCAAACAGAAUUAGAUACCCCUGUAGUC
rnacentral:rRNA from 1 species